GACGAACGCUGGCGGCGUGCUUAACACAUGCAAGUCGAACGGAAAGGCCCUGCUUUUGUGGGGUGCUCGAGUGGCGAACGGGUGAGUAACACGUGAGUAACCUGCCCUUGACUUUGGGAUAACUUCAGGAAACUGGGGCUAAUACCGGAUAGGAGCUCCUGCUGCAUGGUGGGGGUUGGAAAGUUUCGGCGGUUGGGGAUGGACUCGCGGCUUAUCAGCUUGUUGGUGGGGUAGUGGCUUACCAAGGCUUUGACGGGUAGCCGGCCUGAGAGGGUGACCGGCCAAAUUGGGCCGGGGAUACGGCCCAGCCUCCUGCGGGGGGCAGGGGUGGGGAUUUUUCACAAAGGGGGGGAGGCCUGAUGCAGCAACCCCGGGGGGGGGAGGACGGCCUUGGGGUGGUAACCCGCUUUCCCCUGUGACGAAGCGGGGGUGGCGGUAAUGGGGAAGGAAGCCCCGGCUAACUACGU
rnacentral:rRNA from 1 species